UACGGGGGGGGCAAGCGUUGUUCGGAAUUACUGGGCGUAAAGGGCUCGUAGGCGGCCAAUUAAGUCAGACGUGAAAUCCCUCGGCUUAACCGGGGAACUGCGUCCGAUACUGGAUGGCUUGAGUUUGGGAGAGGGAUGCGGAAUUCCAGGUGUAGCGGUGAAAUGCGUAGAUAUCGGGAGGAACACCUGUGGCGAAAGCGGCUCACUGGACCAUUACUGACGCUGAGGCGCGAAAGCUAGG
rnacentral:rRNA from 1 species